rnacentral:tRNA from 1 species
GCAUCCCAAGAUAUCAAUAACUCUGCCCUCCGAAGGCAGAGGUCGGGGGUUCGAAUCUCUCCGGGUGCACCA